AACGAACGCUGGCGGCAUGCCUAACACAUGCAAGUCGAACGAGACCUUCGGGUCUAGUGGCGCACGGGUGCGUAACGCGUGGGAACCUGCCCUUAGGUUCGGAAUAACUCCCCGAAAGGGGUGCUAAUACCGGAUAAUGUCUUCGGACCAAAGAUUUAUCGCCUUUGGAUGGGCCCGCGUUGGAUUAGCUAGUUGGUAGGGUAAAAGCCUACCAAGGCGACGAUCCAUAGCUGGUCUGAGAGGAUGAUCAGCGACACUGGGACUGAGACACGGCCCAGACUCCUACGGGAGGCAGCAGUGGGGAAUAUUGGACAAUGGGGGAAAGCCUGAUCCAGCAAUGCCGCGUGAGUGAUGAAGGCCUUAGGGUUGUAAAGCUCUUUUAACCGGGAUGAUAAUGACAGUACCGGGAGAAUAAGCUCCGGCUAACUACGUG
rnacentral:rRNA from 1 species